UACAGAGGUCCCAAGCGUUUGUUCGGAUUCAUUGGGCGUAAAGGGUGCGUAGGCGGCGCGGUAAGUCGGGUGUGAAAUCGUCGGGGGCUUAACUCCGAAACUGCAUUCGAUACUGCCGUGCUUGAGGACUGGAGAGGAGACUGGAAUUUACGGUGUAGCGGUGAAAUGCGUAGAUAUCGUUAAGGAAGACCAGUGGCGAAGGCGGGUCUCGUGGACAGUUCCUUGACGCUGAGGCACGAAGGCCAGGGGAGCAAACGGG
rnacentral:rRNA from 1 species